AUUGAACGCUGGCGGCAGGCCUAACACAUGCAAGUCGAACGAGUGGCGGACGGGUGAGUAAUGUCUGGGCAACUGCGCGAUGGAGGGGGAUCACUACUGGACACUGUAGCUAAUACCGCCUACCAUCGGAUGUGCCCAGAUGGGAUUAGCGAGUAGGUGGGGUAACGGCGCACCUAGGCGGCGAACCCUAGCUGGUCUGAGAGGAUGACCAGCCCCACUGGAACUGAGACACGGUCCAGACUCCUACGGGAGGCAGCAGUGGGGAAUAUUGCACAAUGGGCGCAAGCCUGAUGCAGCCAUGCCGCGUGUAUGAAGAAGGCCUUAGGGUUGUAAAGUACUUUCAGCUAGGAGGCGUUACUCGCAGAAGAAGCACCGGCUAACUCCGUGCCAGCCGCCGCGGUAAUAC
rnacentral:rRNA from 1 species